rnacentral:tRNA from 1 species
GGGCCGGUAGCGAAAGGGUAUCGCGUCCGCUUCGCACGCGGGAGGCUCUGGGUUCAAAUCCCAGCCGGUCCA